rnacentral:rRNA from 1 species
UACGUAGGCAGCGAGCGUUGUUCGGAGUUACUGGGCGUAAAGCGUGCGUAGGCGGUGCCAUAAGUCUGUUGUGAAAUCUCCCGGCUCAACUGGGAGGGUGCGGUGGAAACUGUGGUGCUGGAGUGUGGGAGAGGUAGGCGGAAUUCCUGGUGUAGCGGUGAAAUGCGUAGAUAUCAGGAGGAACACCUGCGGUGUAGACGGCUUACUGGACCGCGACUGACGCUGAGGCACGAAAGCGUGGGGAGCAAACAGG